CAUCCUAUGGUCCUACAUUACAUGGUACCGGUGUUGAUGAAUGUGGUGGCGAUACUCUUUGAAACGCAAGCAUAAAUGAGCGUCUACAGCUCGCCGCACGCGAUCCUCCUCAAAAUCAAUAAUAUCAAAUACACCCUACCAAUAACAAAUAUUAAAAAAAUAUCAUGCUAAUUAAAUAUUUAUAGUAUAAUUUAUUUUAUCUAUAAUUGGGUGUAGAAAAUCUUUCUUUGAGCCCGUAUAAUGUGAUGCUAAUCGAAAAGCGUCACGGGGGCACAGCUGC
rnacentral:lncRNA from 1 species